ACGAUUAUUGUGUUUAUUGAGUUUUCCUUUGUACGCCAAUAAAUAUCUUAUCGUCAUUUAGACAUUAUUUAUAUAAGGGAUAUGAAAAGUCAGUGGUUAUUUUAGUUUCAAUACUUUUGUUUUUACUUUGGUGUAUACGAAGUUAAAUUCGGGUAGUUGUCAAAGCUUUUCCAACGAAUUCACUUUACCAUAUUGUAUGCGUUAUUCGGUGAUACUGCGAUUACUUUGAUUUUUAAUUUCAUAAAUGUUUGAAUGCUCUUACUCGACCGCACAACAAAUUUAGUCAUUACCGGCCCCUAACCUUUAUCAUCAAUAUCAGAAGCAUCAAACGAAUGUAAUUCUUACGCAUUUUAAACUGCUAAUGUGUACAUCGUUUUUCCAGUACACGCGAUUUUGUUGAUUUUAAAAUGAUUUUUACCCGAAAUUUAAGGUCAACUACAAUAUUGGAUUCUAUUGCAGGCGAAUUUGGUAAACUUUAUACUUCUACGAACUGGAUGUGAUAUGCGUCAAACUUCAUAUGUGUGCCUGUUCAAGUUCAAUAAAAUCUUUAUUGUGCGAUUUAUAUUUUGUGACAGUGGAGAGCAUUGAGGUGUUCAUUGACCAUUUCUGCCAAUAAUUUGAUGUCAACAAAACUAGAUAUUUGACCCUUUCCUUAACACAUGAGGAUGUCUGUUUAUCAUGAAAUGGUGGAAAAACUAUGGCCAAGACUAUGUUUUGUACUACAAUGUAUAUGAUACGAAAAAACAGAUUAUUUAUUAUUAAAAACUAGUUUCAUAAGUAUUAGGCAUUAGAAUAAUGUUAGUACCUAAAUGUGUGUUAACAUUUGCAUAACAUUAAUUAUAGAACAUUCAAUAUUCAUUGGUUCCUUUUGAAACCAAAACCAAAAGAAUUGUUAUUACUUCUUAAACACUAGAAAAGUCCAUUUAAUGUACAAUUUGUUUUAUUUUACAGUUCCAAUAAUCAUUUUCUCUGUUAAAUAUACUAACAAAAUUACAUUUUCAACACUUAA